GACGAACGCUGGCGGCGUGCUUAACACAUGCAAGUCGAACGGAAAGGCCCUGCUUUUGUGGGGUGCUCGAGUGGCGAACGGGUGAGUAACACGUGAGUAACCUGCCCUUGACUUUGGGAUAACUUCAGGAAACUGGGGCUAAUACCGGAUAGGAGCUCCUGCUGCAUGGUGGGGGUUGGAAAGUUUCGGCGGUUGGGGAUGGACUCGCGGCUUAUCAGCUUGUUGGUGGGGUAGUGGCUUACCAAGGCUUUGACGGGUAGCCGGCCUGAGAGGGUGACCGGCCACAUUGGGACUGAGAUACGGCCCAGACUCCUACGGGAGGCAGCAGUGGGGAAUAUUGCACAAUGGGCGGAAGCCUGAUGCAGCAACGCCGCGUGCGGGAUGACGGCCUUCGGGUUGUAAACCGCUUUCGCCUGUGACGAAGCGUGAGUGACGGUAAUGGGUAAAGAAGCACCGGCUAACUACGUGCCAGCAGCCGCGGUGAUACGUAGGGUGCGAGCGUUGUCCGGAUUUAUUGGGCGUAAAGGGCUCGUAGGUGGUUGAUCGCGUCGGAAGUGUAAUCUUGGGGCUUAACCCUGAGCGUGCUUUCGAUACGGGUUGACUUGAGGAAGGUAGGGGAGAAUGGAAUUCCUGGUGGAGCGGUGGAAUGCGCAGAUAUCAGGAGGAACACCAGUGGCGAAGGCGGUUCCCUGGGCCUUUCCUGACGCUGAGGAGCGAAAGCGUGGGGAGCGAACAGGCUUAGAUACCCUGGUAGUCCACGCUGUAAACGGUGGGUACUAGGUGUGGGGUCCAUUCCACGGGUUCCGUGCCGUAGCUAACGCUUUAAGUACCCCGCCUGGGGAGUACGGCCGCAAGGCUAAAACUCAAAGGAAUUGACGGGGCCCCGCACAAGCGGCGGAGCAUGCGGAUUAAUUCGAUGCAACGCGUAGAACCUUACCUGGGUUUGACAUGGAUCGGGAGUGCUCAGAGAUGGGUGUGCCUCUUUUGGGGUCGGUUCACAGGUGGUGCAUGGCUGUCGUCAGCUCGUGUCGUGAGAUGUUGGGUUAAGUCCCGCAACGAGCGCAACCCUUGUUCACUGUUGCCAGCACGUUAUGGUGGGGACUCAGUGGAGACCGCCGGGGUCAACUCGGAGGAAGGUGGGGAUGACGUCAAGUCAUCAUGCCCCUUAUGUCCAGGGCUUCACGCAUGCUACAAUGGCUGGUACAGAGAGUGGCGAGCCUGUGAGGGUGAGCGAAUCCCGGAAAGCCGGUCUCAGUUCGGAUUGGGGUCUGCAACUCGACCUCAUGAAGUCGGAGUCGCUAGUAAUCGCAGAUCAGCAACGCUGCGGUGAAUACGUUCCCGGG
rnacentral:rRNA from 1 species